UUGCUGUGGCAGCAUAUAUGCUAAAAUUGGAACGAUACAGAGAAGGUUAGCAUGGCCCCCGUGCAAGGAUGACAGGCAAAUUCGUGACGCAUUUCAUAUUUUU